rnacentral:piRNA from 1 species
UGGGAUUAAAGUCUUGACCACUCACCUAGC